rnacentral:lncRNA from 1 species
CAGUCUUCAGCUCAGGCCAGGCCUGGGGAACCAAGAGUGGGGGGUCACAGACAGGAUCCCCCUCCCCCGGAAAAUCUCCACCCUACCAGAGCCUCCUCCUUCCUGGGCUCCUCCAUCUCCCAAUGUAGGCUAAUUCCAGAUGAAGUCCGGUUCCCAUUCUGAGCGCCCCCUCCGCUGCAGAACUUGACCUUGUGGUGGGAGGUGAAUGCCGGCGCAGGGAGGAGGACGCUGUUACAGUGAACGAAGAUCAUGCUGCAAAGGAGCUAGCACAGAGCCUGGUACUCAUUUCCACAUCCGUGAAAUGGGCAUAAUAAUGGUAGCUGCCUCGUGGGGAUCAGACGAGUUAAGACGCAGAAAGUGAUGGAACAGCACCUGGAACAGAGGAGGAGCUCAGUCAACGGUAGCUGCUCUAAUUCUCUUCUUCUGAGGUUAAGAG